rnacentral:tRNA from 1 species
GUGGGUGUAGCUCAGUGGUGGAGCCCAUGCUUUGCAUGCACAGGGUCCUGGGUUCAAUCCCCAGUACCUCCA